AACGCACGAGACCUGCGGACCUGCGGAAGGAUCAUUAAUGAGAAACUGCCCCUCGCGGGUAGAUCUCCCACCCUUUGUAAACUUACCUUUGUUGCUUUGGCAGGCCCGUCUCCGGACCGCCGGCUUCGGCUGGCCAGUGCCUGCCAGAGGAUUCUAAAACUCUGUCUGUCAGUGCUGUCUGAGUCUAUAUACAAUCGUUAAAACUUUCAACAAUGGAUCUCUAGAUCGGAAGAGCACACG
rnacentral:misc_RNA from 1 species